GCUCGUAGUUUUACUUUCCCAGGCGGCUAUCCCAUUUUCAAUGGUUUUUUCAUUUUACCUACUAAAUUUCCGCUACACUUGGUUACACGUGACCGGAGCUUUUUUUGUUAUUGCAGGAUUGGUCAUUACAAUCGCUCCUCAAAUGGUGACCGGCCUCGUCAAUCAUCAUCAUUUUUAUUGGGUCCUUUGUUGGGUUCUAUCAUGUAUUCCAAUGACACUAUCAGCAAUUUAUAAAGAAAAGAUCCUCGCUGCGAAUUUUAUAGACCCGAUUUACUUUAACGGCUGGAUUUCUCUUUGGCAGUUCAUAUUUUCGAUUCCGCUCUGCAUUCCUGCAGCUUAUGCUUCUGGCCAAGAUGUCUGGCAUAUUCCCGCCAUGCUAAAAAACGGCUGGCUUUGCUA